rnacentral:rRNA from 1 species
GCCCUUCAGAAGGGGACAACAGUUGGAAACGACUGCUAAUACCGCAUACGAUCUGACCUCGGCAUCGAGGAUAGAUGAAAGGUGGCCUCUAUUUAUAAGCUAUCACUGAAGGAGGGGAUUGCGUCUGAUUAGCUAGUUGGAGGGGUAACGGCCCACCAAGGCGAUGAUCAGUAGCCGGUCUGAGAGGAUGAACGGCCACAUUGGGACUGAGACACGGCCCAG